rnacentral:rRNA from 1 species
GACGAACGCUGGCGGCGUGCUUAACAUAUGCAAGUCGAACGGAAAGGCCCUGCUUGCAGGGUACUCGAGUGGCGAACGGGUGAGUAACACGUGGGUGAUCUGCCCUGCACUUCGGGAUAAGCCUGGGAAACUGGGUCUAAUACCGGAUAGGAGACAUUUUGAGUGUGAUGGUUGGAAAGUUUUUUCGGUUUAGGAUGAGCUUGCGGCCUAUCAGCUUGUUGGUGGGGUAAUGGCCUACCAAGGCGGCGGCGGGUAGCCGGACCGGGAGGGUGGACGGCCACAGCGGGACUGAGACUCGGCCCCGGCUCCUACGCGUAGGAGAGGUGGGGAAGAUUGAAAAAUGGGAGCAAGCCUGAUGCUGAGCCGCCGAGGCGGGGAUAACGAUCUUAGGGUUGUAGACUCAAUUCGCUAGGAACCAAGCUUUUUGUGACGGUACCUAGAUAAGAAGCACCGGCUAACUACGUG